AGAACGAACGCUGGCGGCAUGCCUAACACAUGCAAGUCGAACGAGACCUUCGGGUCUAGUGGCGCACGGGUGCGUAACGCGCGGGAAUCUGCCCUUGGGUUCGGAAUAACUGCGAGAAAUUGCUGCUAAUACCGGAUGAUGACGUAAGUCCAAAGAUUUAUCGCCCAAGGAUGAGCCCGCGUAGGAUUAGCUUGUUGGUGAGGUAAGAGCUCACCAAGGCGACGAAUCCUUAGCUGGUCUGAGAGGAUGAUCAGCCACACUGGGACUGAGACACGGCCCAGACUCCUACGGGAGGCAGCAGUGGGGAAUAUUGGACAAGUGGGACGAAAGCCUGAGUCCAGCAAUGCCGCGUGAGUGAUGAAGGCCUUAGGGUUGUAAAGCUUCUUUACCCGGGAUGAUAAUGAACAGUACCGGGAGAAUUAAGCUACCGGCUAACUCCGUAGCCGUAGCACGGACCGAC
rnacentral:rRNA from 1 species